rnacentral:rRNA from 1 species
GACGAACGCUGGCGGCGUGCUUAACACAUGCAAGUCGAACGGAAAGGCCCUGCUUUUGUGGGGUGCUCGAGUGGCGAACGGGUGAGUAACACGUGAGUAACCUGCCCUUGACCUCGGGAUAACUUCAGGAAACUGGGGCUAAUACCGGAUAGGAGCUCCUGCUGCAUGGUGGGGGUUGGAAAGUUUCGGCGGUUGGGGAUGGACUCGCGGCUUAUCAGCUUGUUGGUGGGGUAGUGGCUUACCAAGGCUUUGACGGGUAGCCGGCCUGAGAGGGUGACCGGCCACAUUGGGACUGAGAUACGGCCCAGACUCCUACGGGAGGCAGCAGUGGGGAAUAUUGCACAAUGGGCGGAAGCCUGAUGCAGCAACGCCGCGUGCGGGAUGACGGCCUUCGGGUUGUAAACCGCUUUCGCCUGUGACGAAGCGUGAGUGACGGUAAUGGGUAAAGAAGCACCGGCUAACUACGUG